UUUAUGGAGAGUUUGAUCCUGGCUCAGAGUGAACGCUGGCGGCGUGCCUAAUACAUGCAAGUCGAACGAUGAAGCUUCUAGCUUGCUAGAAUGCUGAUUAGUGGCGCACGGGUGAGUAACGCAUAGGUCAUGUGCCUCUUAGUUUGGGAUAGCCAUUGGAAACGAUGAUUAAUACCAGAUACUCCCUACGGGGGAAAGAUUUAUCGCUAAGAGAUCAGCCUAUGUCCUAUCAGCUUGUUGGUAAGGUAAUGGCUUACCAAGGCUAUGACGGGUAUCCGGCCUGAGAGGGUGAACGGACACACUGGAACUGAGACACGGUCCAGACUCCUACGGGAGGCAGCAGUAGGGAAUAUUGCUCAAUGGGGGAAACCCUGAAGCAGCAACGCCGCGUGGAGGAUGAAGGUUUUAGGAUUGUAAACUCCUUUUGUUAGAGAAGAUAAUGACGGUAUCUAACGAAUAAGCACCGGCUAACUCCGUGCCAGCAGCCGCGGUAAUACGGAGGGUGCAAGCGUUACUCGGAAUCACUGGGCGUAAAGAGCGCGUAGGCGGGAUAGUCAGUCAGGUGUGAAAUCCUAUGGCUUAACCAUAGAACUGCAUUUGAAACUACUAUUCUAGAGUGUGGGAGAGGUAGGUGGAAUUCUUGGUGUAGGGGUAAAAUCCGUAGAGAUCAAGAGGAAUACUCAUUGCGAAGGCGACCUGCUGGAACAUUACUGACGCUGAUUGCGCGAAAGCGUGGGGAGCAAACAGGAUUAGAUACCCUGGUAGUCCACGCCCUAAACGAUGGAUGCUAGUUGUUGGAGGGCUUAGUCUCUCCAGUAAUGCAGCUAACGCAUUAAGCAUCCCGCCUGGGGAGUACGGUCGCAAGAUUAAAACUCAAAGGAAUAGACGGGGACCCGCACAAGCGGUGGAGCAUGUGGUUUAAUUCGAAGAUACACGAAGAACCUUACCUAGGCUUGACAUUGAGAGAAUCCGCUAGAAAUAGUGGAGUGUCUGGCUUGCUAGACCUUGAAAACAGGUGCUGCACGGCUGUCGUCAGCUCGUGUCGUGAGAUGUUGGGUUAAGUCCCGCAACGAGCGCAACCCCCUUUCUUAGUUGCUAACAGGUCAUGCUGAGAACUCUAAGGAUACUGCCUCCGUAAGGAGGAGGAAGGUGGGGACGACGUCAAGUCAUCAUGGCCCUUACGCCUAGGGCUACACACGUGCUACAAUGGGGUGCACAAAGAGAAGCAAUACUGCGAAGUGGAGUCAAUCUUCAAAACACCUCUCAGUUCGGAUUGUAGGCUGCAACUCGCCUGCAUGAAGCUGGAAUCGCUAGUAAUCGCAAAUCAGCCAUGUUGCGGUGAAUACGUUCCCGGGUCUUGUACUCACCGCCCGUCACACCAUGGGAGUUGUGUUUGCCUUAAGUCAGGAUGCUAAAUUGGCUACUGCCCACGGCACACACAGCGACUGGGGUGAAGUCGUAACAAGGUAACCGUAGGUGAACCUGCGGCUGGAUCACCUCCUU
rnacentral:rRNA from 1 species